rnacentral:lncRNA from 1 species
UCCUUUUCUGGUCCAGGAUGGCCGGAACCUACCGGAUGGGGGGACGAAGAAGAAAAAGAAGUAACAAAGCCUUCUGAACCAACAAAAACUGAGGAGCCUGUGAUUCUCAGUAGUUCGUUCCUCUUGAAUCAGUCCUUUACUGGUCCAGGAUGGGGACCUACCGGAUGGGGGGACGAAGAAGUAACAAAGCCUUCUGAACCAAAUUAUGCUGCCCAUGGAUGGGAAUCAAACCAACAUGAAAAUAUUGAAACAAACUCAUGGGAACAACAGUAUCAUGCUCCCGUUGAUGAACAUGCAAAAGAAUAUGGAUGGUGGCAAACUGGUCAGAGUGAUUAUCAUGGAUGGAAUCAAGGAUGGAAUCAGGGAUGGAAUCAGAGGGAGCAAUAUGGUGGUGGCUUGCAUAACAAGUGUCAAGAAAGAAAUGCUGGGAGUGGAAAUUGGGCAGCGGGGGAUGGAUAUAACAGAAAGAGAGAAAACAACAUGUCAUGGUCUAAGAACCCUGGAUAUCAUCGUGGUGCUAAUGAUUAUCAGAUGAAUAGAGGAAGAAGAGGAAAUGGAGGAAGUAGUGGAGGUGGAGGAAGGAGGGCCAAUUUUGGUUAUGCGGACAAGGUAGCUACUUCUGGUGCAUGGUAAAUGAAGAUCAAAUACCUUGGACUGCAAGCAAAGACUCCUAUGAUGAAGCUGAUAAAGGGUCAGUUUUGUGAAAGUAGUUGAGGAUAUAAGUUUUGUUAUCUCGUUAUUAGAUAUGUGAUAUUAUAUCAACAUAAGAAUUAUGGGUUUUUCUAUUUUUUUACAUUCAUCACAUGGAUUUAUGGUCUAUUUGUGUUUGUACUUUAAGAAAUGUUUUUCGUGGUGACAGAUAAUCCGGUGCAUUACUGGUAUUAUUGAAAUAUGAAAUAAGCAAUUACUAUUAAAUGAAGCUAAAUUGUUUAAUUCUUGUCUUCUUCAUUAUCUUUAUAGUCUGAAUGUAGGAUGAAUUAGCUUAGUAUAUAAAUUAGCCUCUAAACAAACACAGAUAAUACAACAAUUACUUUAAUACAUAUAUGCAAGUUUCCUUAAUGUGCAUCACAUUUGAAUGUUUUAGGGUAGGAUUGUUGUUAUUUAUGGACGAGAAGCAGCUGGUAAGCCAACAGUUCUCUUCAAAUUAUUAAAGAAGCUCAAAUGCUUUGAGGUACAUAUCAGACUUCUUGUAUGUUAGCAUUUAAAUCUCACUGUAUAUAGAUAAUUUUUUUUUUCUUUCUCAAUUAUAUGAAAGUAAGUACUCAAUUAUUAAUGCAAGAUGCCCAGUAAACUACUUGUCUCCUGUCAAUUUUAUAAAUUCUUUUCGUUUUUUUCCAUGUUAAUCCUCUGGUUCCUAGGGGAAGGGGCCGUAGUAAUCUGGAUCUCGGCCGUGAGGUAAGUAAAUUCUAUUCAUUCUGUUUGCACUUUGCAGGAUAUUGGGCAUAUCUUGAUGUAGAAAGUGCAUUAGACCUUUCACUUGUGGAGUCAAUGGGUGUAAAUACCAAAAACCUUCUCAUCUCAAAUCCCGAUUGUGCUGAAAAUUUGUUGAGCAUGGUUGAUACACUAACAAAAAGUGGAGCUGGAGAUGUGAUUGUGGUUGAUAGUGUAAGUUAUUGUGCAUAGCCAUUUACAUUCUAAGUUGUUUAGGAAAACCAACAUUUUUGUAAAAUGUCUCUGCGUUGUCAUAAGAUGAUUGUCAUUCCAGGUUGCUUCUCUUGUCCCAAAAUGUGAACUUGAUCAAUUGGGAGUGGCCACAAAUCAAGAAUUACAUUCGCAAAUAAUGAUUCAAGCACUUCGGAAAAUUAAUUAUUCAUUUCCUGCUCCCAAACCCUCUUAGUUUUUGUUAAUCAGGUCAAAGUCAGAUUACUUGAAAUUGUGCAUGUUAUCAUUUGACUGUCAAUUUGUACAAUAUACAAAUGAACCAUUAGAUUUAUCAUUUGAUACCGUCUCUUGUAUACAGGUUAGAUUUAGUCCAAAAGCAUUUGUCGGACGUGGACCUAUGGAAGAGGUCACUUUUGGUGGAAAUGCUUUGAGAUUCUAUGCAGCUGUUCAUUUGCGACUUUUCAAGAAUUAGAUUGAUCAAAACUGAAGAUAUGGUGAACUCUUGAAUAUAUUUGAAGUACUAUCAGGCAGGAUUUAGAUGUCUUUGAUUUGGCUUGUGAACAUGGACAUGGACUCAUAAUUAUGAAAGAUGAUGAACACUACUUUUAGUAGUAGAGAAGCUGCUGAACUAUUUUUGGCUAAAAAUAAAAGUAUUUGUGUCAAGUUAGUUAUGGACAUGAAAAGACUUUAUCUUUAAAAAUUUGGCAAACCUCCGAAUGUUCUGGAUCAUCGAUGAUCUAAGCCAAACUGCAGACUUAAUGUGAUUAAAAAACUUGUCAAUCAUAUUCACAAGGCAUCAGUAUUGCCUUCAAUAGAUAGGCAUCAACCACUCUAUAGAUGAGCAAAUAGCAUUUAAGUUACAAGAAUUGUCAGCUGCUAUGAUGUGACUAUGUGAAACCCUUUGGAUGUAGGUGUGGAGUACUGAGCCUUCCUCCACAUUCCACCCCCUUAACUGCUAUACCAGCCAACCUCAGAAAUCUACUAUGCAAUGUAGCUUCCUCUAACCAAAGGAUCAUUCUAAAACAAAGUAUUUUCAACACGAUCCCAUUAAAAGCCCCUCUUCUGAUUAUCCGGAUAUCCUUCCACCACUCUGAGGCCUUAUUCCCUCCAUCGCUAAUACUGCCAUCAUCCAUCCCAUUUUUUUUCCUCUAGAACACGCUUGCACAACCCCUUCCUCGUCUUAAAAUAACCUCAAACAUUACCUAAUUGUGAUAUAUUGAAUUCCUUAACCCUCUGAACACAUGGGCUCCCUAACUCCAGCCUAAGCACAACUUAUCCCAAUUAACACAAUGUACCAUAAGAGCCACACCACCAUCACCCCCUCCCAACAAAAAAGAUUUAAAAAGAGGUUCAAUGGUAGGAAUUAUACAUGCGAAGACAAGACAACUUUUAGAAAACGAGGAUCCCCAUAGACAGUNNNNNNNNNAAAUAUAUUAUUGAUGAUUUUAAGAAAUUCUAUACACGUAUUUGUACAAAUAUUAAUGUAAAUAUUUGUUUACAGUUUAUUUUUAAUGACUAUAAGAAACUCAACAUAUAUAUUAGUUCAAAGUAUUAGUACAAAUAUUAGUUUAUAUUCUAUUAUUGAUGAUUUUCACUCUGUAUAUUUACGUAGAGUAUUAUUUUUAAGUUAUAUAGUUUAAUUUUAUAAUAAUGAACUUUGAUUUUGUUCGUCCAAAAAUAACGUAUACCUGAUUGAAUUUAUAAUAUUGAGUAAAAUUAAUUGAACAAACGUAUAUAAAUAAGUUCUGGGUUCGAUCCCCAACUCAUUGUAAACAAAAAAAAAAUGUAUAUAAAUAUGAACAUAACAUCUUAUUUGCUUAAAAAAAAAUCUUAUUUGAACACAAAUUUGACCAACAUAUAUUUUUACACGGUAUAUUUUUAUAUAUAAUAUUAUUUUCAUAUUUAAUUUGUAUAUUAAAAAAAAUUGUGGCCCCCCCAAAUUAUUUUUUCUGGUUCCGCCACUGCUCGCGGGCGAGCAACACCUGAAGCAUCAGCUAUCAAAACAUUACUAAGCUGAGGAGGACAACUAUACCAAAUUUUUAGGGGACAUAUGAGGUAUCAAUCCUAUAAUUUAAAGGAGAAUGUUAACUUGUGCCCUUAAGGGCACAUUUUAAGGAGAUAAAUAUAGAAAAAAUUUAUUGAACUUGUGGUGUAUUCAAUUUUCUAAACAUUAAAUUCUUUAUAUCAUUAAAUGCUAUAUUUCUAUUUUUAGGUAGCUUAACAUGUGCCCUUAGGGCACAAGUUAACAUAACCCUAAUUUAAAAUAGUGGGCCUAAAUUUAUAUUGAUAAUUUUGUUUUUCAUCCAUUGUGAAUCCAACUUGAAUGUAACAUUAGUUGGCCAUAGCUCGAUUUUCUACUAGAUAAUAAAUAAAUAUGAUAUUUAAUGACUUCCGUUUAAAACAUUUGAAGUAUAGGGUCGUUUCAGCUUUGGCUUAUGAAAAGACCAUUCAACCAUAUCUUAUCAUUGAUUCACACACACCAUCAACUUUACAUUAUGAGAGCAUGAUUGCAAAAAUAAGUUUUGAGAUUUUGUGGUAAGUCCAAUAACUAGCUUAUAGCUUAUUGAACUAGCUUAUAAGUUUGUUUAAUAAAAAUGUAAAGUGUUUGGUAACAAGUUUCUCUAACUAGCUUAUAACGUUUCCCGAUAUACUAUUUCAAAUAGCGUAUGAGCCUAUAUCUUAUAGUUUUUUACAUUUAUUCCAUAUUUACCCUUAUUAUUUUUAUUUUUUAUUUUUUUAAAAUCAUAAUAACUACCCACUAAUCAUUUUAUCAACAAAAAAAAUCAUUCAGUAACGAUAUAUUUUUAUGUCAUUUUAUACUUACAAAAGCUUAAUUUAUCAAACACUUUGAUUUUAGGGUAAAUGAUCAUUUACCCCCCUGCAAAAUAAGCAAAUUUUCGUUUACCCCCCUGCACAGAUUUUUUUUCUGUUUACCCCCUUGCAAACAAUAGAUUCCCUCAUUUCGCCCCCUGGGUGUACAGCANNNNNNNNNNNNNNNNNNNNNNNNNNNNNNNNNNNNNNNNNNNNNNNNNNNNNNNNNNNNNNNNNNNNNNNNNNNNNNNNNNNNNNNNNNNNNNNNNNNNNNNNNNNNNNNNNNNNNNNNNNNNNNNNNNNNNNNNNNNNNNNNNNNNNNNNNNNNNNNNNNNNNNNNNNNNNNNNNNNNNNNNNNNNNNNNNNNNNNNNNNNNNNNNNNNNNNNNNNNNNNNNNNNNNNNNNNNNNNNNNNNNNNNNNNNNNNNNNNNNNNNNNNNNNNNNNNNNNNNNNNNNNNNNNNNNNNNNNNNNNNNNNNNACUUUUGUUCAAUUUUCAGUUUUUGCAUGGAUUACUCAUUAGUACUCAUCUUUCACUUUAUAUUUUCUUUUAAUUUGUUUUUUGUCAUGCUAGAAAAAUUGGGUCAGUGGUAGAAUUGUUAAACAUAUCAUGAUGAUCAAGGUUUUUAAAUGAAUUUGCAUCACAAUUUUUGAUAUAUGUGAAUAAUUUUGUAUGUGCCACCUGAUAAGGGCAAGGUGGGGUUGUAAAAUAUGAUGAUGUAGGGUUUAGGUUCAAUAAUUGAAGGGAGUGUCACUAAGGAUAUGAAUGAAAUGUUGUCAUUUUUUUGGUUGGUAGGUUGUAAUUUCUUGUUGUUGUUGGUGUUUUGUAUGUUCAUCAGGUGGUUGGUUGGUCCCUACGUUGUUCAAUUAUUGAAAUUGACAGUGAUGAUAGAUAACUAAGAUUCUGUUUGAUUCGAUCUUUUGCAGAUUAUGUUUUGUAGUAAUUUCUGUUUGUGUUGUUCUUUGAAUUAAUACUGGCUAUGGUUGUAAUAAUUCUAAUUGAAUAUCUAAAAUCAAAUCUUUUGGUAGUCAAAAAAAAAAAAAAUCUUUUGGCCGCAUAUUGUGAACAAAAUCCUAUCUCUGGUGAACCUUACAAGCAGCUAAAUUUCCUUCCAUUAGUCUAUCUUUUGCACAUGAACUGUUUUCAUUUUGUUUAUAUUUGAUCUUAACAUGUCCUGAUUUUGGCCAUGCAUUUGUCAUGUUUUAAAUUGAAAUUGUCUACGUAUCUACUAAUUACAUCUUUUAGAAGCAUAUUUAAAUUAUCCCUACCUCAUUCAAUUGUUGAAAUGGAGGUUGAUCUUUAGUACUUCCCGCUAUGUAAAAAUUCAGUUUGUUUUGGAUUUUGAACUAAAGCUGUCUAGAUUUGGCAAUUCAAUAUAUAAGUAUUUAUUCAAUAUAUAUGUUAUAAUUACAUUUUAGUGUCAUGCUAUCUUGGCGUAUAAUAGGUUAUCCCUUAAAUUAUCAAUUGAUUCCAUUUAUUUCUCUUGGUUCACAGCUAAAAGCAUUUCAACAGUGCCUCCGUGGGAGAAGAAGUUUUGUUAUUCAGUUGGCUCAGUUCCAUGGCGAAAUGUAGUAGAAUGCAAGAGGUAUAUGUAUAUGCAUCCCAAUGUGGUAAACUGGGACGACUCUGCUGUCAAAGAAGCAUUUGACGAUGCAAAAAACAGGUUUUGGGCCGAGUUCAACGGCUUUGCCUGUGACAUACCAUUGCCUGAUCCUAACAUUUACAUCGACGAUGUAGAUUGGAAUGCAACUGUUGAUCCUGAACUUUAUCUAGAUCUGGAUAAAGAAGCAGAGGCCCGCCGCAACAUGGAACAAAAAACUGAGGAGCCUGUGAUUCUCGGCAGUUCUCUACUCUUGAAUCAGUCCUUUUCUGGUCCAGGAUGGCCGGCACCUACCGGAUGGGGGGACGAAGAAGAAAAAGAAGUAACAAAGUCUUCUCAACCAACAAAAACUGAGGAGGCUGUGAUUCUCACUAGUUCUUUCCUCUUGAAUCAGUCCUUUACUGGUCCAGGAUGGGGACCUACCGGAUGGGGGGACGAAGAAGUAACAAAGCCUUACGAACCAAAUUAUGCUGCCAAUGGAUGGGAAUCAAACCAACAUGAAAAUAUUGAAACAAACUCUUGGGAACAACAGUAUCAUGUUCCCGUUGAUGAACAUGCAAAAGAUUAUGGAUGGUGGCAAACUGGUCAGAGUGGUUAUCAGGGAUGGAAUCUGAAGGAGCAGUAUGGUGGUGGCGUGCAUGACAAGUAUCAAGGAAGAAAUGGUGGGAGUGGAAAUUGGGGAACAUGGGAUGGCUAUAACAGAAAGAGAGA